rnacentral:rRNA from 1 species
UGCAAGUCGAGCGAACAGACGAGGAGCUUGCUCCUCUGACGUUAGCGGCGGACGGGUGAGUAACACGUGGAUAACCUACCUAUAAGACUGGGAUAACUUCCGGAAACCGGAGCUAAUACCGGAUAACAUGUUGAACCGCAUGGUUCAACAGUGAAAGACGGUCUUGCUGUCACUUAUAGAUGGAUCCGCGCCGCAUUAGCUAGUUGGUAAGGUAACGGCUUACCAAGGCAACGAUGCGUAGCCGACCUGAGAGGGUGAUCGGCCACACUGGAACGAGACACGGACCAGACUCCUACGGGAGGCAGCAGUAGGGAAUCUUCCGCAAUGGGCGAAAGCCUGACGGAGCAACGCCGCGUGAGUGAAGAAGGUCUUCGGAUCGUAAAACUCUGUUAUUAGGGAAGAACAAAUGUGUAAGUAACUAUGCACGUCUUGACGGUACCUAAUCAGAAAGCCACGGCUAACUACGUGCCAGCAGCCGCGGUAAUACGUAGGUGGCAAGCGUUAUCCGGAAUUAUUGGGCGUAAAGCGCGCGUAGGCGGUUUUUUAAGUCUGAUGUGAAAGCCCACGGCUCAACCGUGGAGGGUCAUUGGAAACUGGAAAACUUGAGUGCAGAAGAGGAAAGUGGAAUUCCAUGUGUAGCGGUGAAAUGCGCAGAGAUAUGGAGGAACACCAGUGGCGAAAGCGACUUUCUGGUCUGUAACUGACGCUGAUGUGCGAAAGCGUGGGGAUCAACAGGAUUAGAUACCCUGGUAGUCCACGCCGUAACGAUGAGUGCUAGUGUUAGGGGUUUCCGCCCCUUAGUGCUGCAGCUAACGCAUAGCACUCCGCUGGGGAGUACGA